rnacentral:antisense_RNA from 1 species
CAGCGGUCUCUUUGUUAGUAUCCAUGAUUGAAGGCAUAUUGCUUCGGUUCUCAAAGCAUGGCCAGAAGGUGUCAUCAAGGUAUAAUAAAAAUACUGAGGUUCUCAAAAAAAUGGACUGCAGUAUAAGAGUAUUAUAAAAACCACCCAUGAAUAUAUUUGAAAUCCUA